rnacentral:rRNA from 1 species
CCCUUAGAUGUUCUGGGCUGCACGCGCGCUACACUGAAGCGUUCAACGAGUAUUCACCUUGCCCGGGAGGGUUGGGUAAUCUUUUUAAAACGCUUCGUGAUGGGGAUAGAUUAUUGCAAUUAUUAAUCUUCAACGAGGAAUUCCUAGUAAGCGCGAGUCAUCAGCUCGUGCUGAUUACGUCCCUGCCCUUUGUACACACCGCCCGUCGCUCCUACCGAUUGGGUGUGCUGGUGAAAUGUUCGGAUCGGCCGUUUGUCGCGGUUUCCGCGGCUCGUGGCUGAGAAGUUCAUUAAACCCUCCCACCUAGAGGAAGGAGAAGUCGUAACA